AAAAAGGCAGCUAGCAGAAUGUAGCCAUCUUGUCUUCCCUUUUAGUCAAUGAAGAGCAAUAGUCUUCUUGAACUGUGGGACAUUCUGUCCUGAUAGAGGGAAAGGUUGUGGCACGCUACACACUGAAUUUCUGCUUCAGCACUUGUGUAACGCCUGGAUGCUGUAUCAGAGGCGGGACCAGUGGGUGGCUGUGCACAAAGCAGAGUGUUGAACCUGAUGCCUACAGGAUCCGUGGGAGAAGCCUUUUGGGUAGGAGUGAGGAUCUGACUGAUGAUCAAGCUGUGAUUCGGGCCUCCAAGCCAGAGAAAACACACAAGAGUGCUGUAAAAGGUACGGAAACAGAGGAUCAAGAGAGUACAAGGAAGCCUGCCAGAUCUGCGUGGUAUCCUAAGCUCCACCAGCCUGUUUGGCAGCCUUCUCUUUGCAGUGCAACAAGAGUCACUGUCAUGAGCUGGCUGCACACUGAGGGGUCGGAUCUGUGACCUCAUAUUUCAGCCCUGCGCUCCUGUAGUGGCUCAGCUGACCCCUGCAGCCAGGGAUCAGAUGGAAAGCCAUUAGGGGUGGUUCCUUACCAGCACAAUGUCCAGACUCAUGUCACUGCUGCUUCGAGUCACCCUGGGAGCAAUCAUCCAUGCAUUGAUUUUAUGGCAGGGCUGACACUUGCCUUCAUUCUUUUGGAGCCGGAGAGAAUUGCUCUUAACCAUGCCCCCUGCCGCCUCGGGAUAUAAUCUCAGGAGCAUAGUUUAGGGGCACAGUCAGCUUCAAGGAGCAUUACUUUGCUUCAGUGCAUUUUUAUGUGUUUUCUUUUCCCUGCAGGCUUUUCUCUGCUAAGGGGGAUUUUUGGACCAGUGAAUGCACUUUUUUUUUUUUUUUCCCUGUUUCUUUUCUUUUUCUUAUU
rnacentral:lncRNA from 1 species